AUUGAACGCUGGCGGCAGGCCUAACACAUGCAAGUCGAACGCGUGGCGGACGGGUGAGUAAUGUCUGGGAAACUGCCCGAUGGAGGGGGAUAACUACUGGAAACGGUAGCUAAUACCGCAUCCCAUCGGAUGUGCCCAGAUGGGAUUGGCUAGUAGGUGGGGUAACGGCUCACCUAGGCGACGAUCCCUCGCUGGUCUGAGAGGAUGACAAGCCACACGGGAACUGAGACACGGUCCAGACUCCUACGGGAGGAACCAGUGGGGAAUAUUGCAAAAUGGGGGCAAGCCUGAGGCAGACAUGCCGCGUGUAGGAAGAGGGCCUUCGGGUUGUAAAGUACUUUCAGCGAGGAGGCGUUACUCGCAGAAGAAGCACCGGCUAACUCCGUGCCAGCAGCCGCGGUAAUAC
rnacentral:rRNA from 1 species